rnacentral:lncRNA from 1 species
UUUGAUCUUUUGUCCCUCUGAAAAUUAAAGAAUUAGAUUAGAACACUAAAACAACAAACUUAGGUAAGUAUAUGUCGCGAAACAAUAUGGUAUGGGUUUUCAUAUUGGUAGAAGUAAUGAAUAAACAAUGUAAACGUCCCUCCAUUACUUCAAUGACGCCCUAAACUAUUAGUACUAGUAGAUGACCUUAGUUUAGCUAACCUAAACCUACCUAAGCUCUUUAGCUCCCGUAAUGCUUGUCAUUCGAAAUCAAAGCCAAAACCAACCACAAUUAAUUCCUUCCAAGUUCUAACCUAAUACCUCGAUCAGCUGUUUUUCCUUUCCAAUCCACAACCGCACAAACAUUAUUUUUCUGAUACUUCUAGCGGAUUAAAGUUUGCAUCAUUACAACUUUUUGACAUGACAUUAAUUCAUUAUCAUUUUCAACCUUGUCAUAAAACAAAACCAUAAAUAACUAACAUUAGUACCAGCUCCGGUCACUUAAAUUUGACGUUUCAGACUGUUUUCGACUUGCACGUAAUUUUAUCUCGCUUUCCUGGAAUGUCAACUAAUCACCCAAAAUCAAAAACUUUUCAAAAUUCUUCAUCACAUCAAAUCUUGCGGCACAUGCAUAGAGCAUUAAAUAUAGACAAAAAUAAACUAAUUGCACAAUUUACCUGUAAAUCGCGAGAUGAAUCUUUUAAGUCUAAUUACUUCAUGAUUAGACAAUAUUUGUCAAAUAAAAACAAAAGUACUACAUCUAAAAACCAAAAAAAAUUCGAAACUAAACAACACCUAAAAGUUACUCGAGAGAGCAAAACAGAGUAAGGAAUAAUCCAAGUUGAUCAUCUUGAUUCAACCAUGCGCACACGUGUUGCUUUCCAACCCUAG